GCGUGGGCCGGGCGGCCGGGCGCGGCCGCGCCGUUCCCGCCGGCGCAGGCGCCCGAGCUGAUCGGCACGGCGGUCACGUUCCA
rnacentral:tRNA from 1 species